GGGGUUGUGACUCAGUGGUAGAGCACUUGCCUCUCACGCAUGAGGCACUGGGUUCAAUCCUCAGUACCA
rfam:Ictidomys tridecemlineatus contig109649, whole genome shotgun sequence.